rnacentral:rRNA from 1 species
GUUUGAUCCUGGCUCAGAUUGAACGCUGGCGGCAUGCCUUACACAUGCAAGUCGAACGGUAACAGGUCUUCGGAUGCUGACGAGUGGCGAACGGGUGAGUAAUACAUCGGAACGUGCCUAGUAGUGGGGGAUAACUACUCGAAAGAGUGGCUAAUACCGCAUGAGAUCUACGGAUGAAAGCAGGGGAUCGCAAGACCUUGUGCUACUAGAGCGGCCGAUGGCAGAUUAGGUAGUUGGUGGGAUAAAAGCUUACCAAGCCGACGAUCUGUAGCUGGUCUGAGAGGACGAUCAGCCACACUGGGACUGAGACACGGCCCAGACUCCUACGGGAGGCAGCAGUGGGGAAUUUUGGACAAUGGGCGCAAGCCUGAUCCAGCAAUGCCGCGUGCAGGAUGAAGGCCUUCGGGUUGUAAACUGCUUUUGUACGGAACGAAAAGCCCUGGGUUAAUACCCUGGGGUCAUGACGGUACCGUAAGAAUAAGCACCGGCUAACUACGUGCCAGCAGCCGCGGUAAUACGUAGGGUGCGAGCGUUAAUCGGAAUUACUGGGCGUAAA